rnacentral:rRNA from 1 species
UACGGAGGGGGCUAGCGUUGUUCGGAAUUACUGGGCGUAAGGCGCGCGUAGGCGGCUUUGUAAGUUAGAGGUGAAAGCCCGGAGCUUAACUCCGGAACUGCCUUUAAGACUGCAUCGCUAGAAUCGUGGAGAGGUGAGUGGAAUUCCGAGUGUAGAGGUGAAAUUCGUAGAUAUUCGGAAGAACACCAGUGGCGAAGGCGACUCACUGGACACGUAUUGACGCUGAGGUGCGAAAGCGUGGGGAGCAAACAGG